ensembl:snRNA U6 U6 spliceosomal RNA
UUGUUUCUUUGACAACACACAGACUAAAAUUGCAACAAUACAGAGAUCAAUGUGGCCCCUACUCAAGGAUGACAUGCAAAUAUGUAAAAGAUUACAUAUUUUU